rnacentral:rRNA from 1 species
ACCCCACUAUGCCUAGCCUUAAACUUUGAUAGUAAGACCUACUAUCCGCCAGAGAAUUACGAGCGAAAAGCUUAAAACUCAAAAGACUUGACGGUGCCCCAAACCAACCUAGAGGAGCCUGUCCUAUAAUCGAUGACCCGCGCUUUACCUCACCUGCCCUCGCACAAAUCAGCCAGCCUAUAUACCGCCGCCUUCCCGCCUACCUUACAAAAGUAACACAGCAAGCAAAAUAGCCCCCCCCCGCUAAAACGUCAGGUCAAGGUGUAGCUAAUGGGCAGGAAAGAGAUGGGCUACAUUCUCUACGCACAUAGACCACCACCCCCGGUAUCAUGAAAACAUACCUCAAAGGAGGAUUUAGUAGUAAUUUAGGCAAGACUUCCUAAAUGAAUUCUGCUCUGGGGCGCGUACACACCGCG